rfam:Gossypium hirsutum cultivar TM-1 chromosome 11, whole genome shotgun sequence
AACUGAUAGUGAGGGCACCAUCUCAAUAAGUCCUUAUACCUCUCUCAUGCAUCAUAUAAAGUCUCUAAAUCGAUCUAAACGAAGGAAAAAAUAUCAUUCCUCAACUC